CGCCGUGCAGGCUGGCGGCUCCCUCGCAGCUGCUGAUCUUCUCUCCGCAGGUCCACCUCUGAUUCAGCAGCUCACCCCGAAACUCAUUUUCUGGGGAGGGGAAGAGGAACACGGGCGCUGAGGCCCCCGGCGG